AUACUACUCCAUCUGUCCAACAAAAGAUGUUUCAAGUUUGUCAAAAUUUAAAUGUAUCGGUAUGACUUAGUGUAUAGAUGCAUUUAAAUUUAGUCAAAGUUGAUACAUUUUUGGUUGGACGGAGGAAGUAUUAU
rnacentral:pre_miRNA from 1 species